rnacentral:rRNA from 1 species
GACGAAGGAUGCAAGCGUUAUCCGGAUUCAUUGGGUUUAAAGGGAGCGUAGGUGGCCUUAUAAGUCAGUGGUGAAAUCCUGUUGCUUAACAACAGAAUUGCCAUUGAUACUGUAGGGCUUGAGUAUAGUUGCCGUUGGCGGAAUAUGACAUGUAGUGGUGAAAUACAUAGAGAUGUCAUAGAACACCGAUUGCGAAGGCAGCUAACGAAACUAUAACUGACACUGAGGCUCGAAAGUGCGGGGAUCAAACAGG